rnacentral:rRNA from 1 species
AGAGUUUGAUCCUGGCUCAGGAUGAACGCUGGCGGCGUGCUUAACACAUGCAAGUCGAGCGAAGCAGUUAAGUUGAUUUCUUCGGAUUGAUUCUUGACUGACUGAGCGGCGGACGGGUGAGUAACGCGUGGGUGACCUGCCCCAUACCGGGGGAUAACAGCUGGAAACGGCUGCUAAUACCGCAUAAGCGCACAGAGCUGCAUGGCUCGGUGUGAAAAACUCCGGUGGUAUGGGAUGGGCCCGCGUCUGAUUAGGCAGUUGGCGGGGUAACGGCCCACCAAGGCAACGAUCAGUAGCCGGUCUGAGAGGAUGAACGGCCACAUUGGAACUGAGACACGGUCCAAACUCCUACGGGAGGCAGCAGUGGGGAAUAUUGCACAAUGGGGGAAACCCUGAUGCAGCAACGCCGCGUGAGUGAAGAAGUAUUUCGGUAUGUAAACUUCUAUCAGCAGGGAAGAAAAUGACGGUACCUGACUAAGAAGCCCCGGCUAACUACGUGCCAGCAGCCGCGGUAAUACGUAGGGGGCAAGCGUUAUCCGGAAUUACUGGGUGUAAAGGGUGCGUAGGUGGUAUGGCAAGUCAGAAGUGAAAACCCAGGGCUUAACUCUGGGACUGCUUUUGAAACUGUCAGACUGGAGUGCAGGAGAGGUAAGCGGAAUUCCUAGUGUAGCGGUGAAAUGCGUAGAUAUUAGGAGGAACAUCAGUGGCGAUGGCGGCUUACUGGACUGAAACUGACACUGAGGCACGAAAGCGUGGGGAGCAAACAGGAUUAGAUACCCUGGUAGUCCACGCCGUAAACGAU